AUAUCUAAUGCUUUCCAGUUGUGGAAAGUUAUAACAAAAAAAUGGGGAGCAAGAGACAGAGAGAAAGAGACAGGGAGAAAAACAGGGCAGGAACAGUUGCUUUGGAGGCUGAUCACUCCAGUGUGGUAGCACACUCAGCUGUUUGACAUUCCUGCUCAGAGACUGGUCGGCUGGAUUGAUUGCAUUCUGUCUCUCUAGUUGUUUUGUGAGUACCAAUGUGGCAGAAGACGUUUCUCUGUUGAACACCUCUCCCACAGGACACUGAACACUGAUGAGGAGAAAAAAGUGCAGUCUUUGCAAGAUGACGCAGCCCCAGUAACAUCUAAGGAGUCUUGGCUCCUUCUUUGAUUCAGAGACCAUAAUCAGUGCAGGGCUUUUAAACAG